rnacentral:lncRNA from 1 species
GCUUUUUGGUUUUAUUAAAGAUGAAAUACUUUCAGUUAUUUUUAUUUGCUAUCAUUGUUGUUCUUCUUACAUCUAUAUCAGGUAUCACUUUCACCUAUCCAAUAGAUUUAGGGAAUGAUCAUAUAUUCCACAAGAUCUUAGAAAUCAAAAUAACAACUCAUUAUUGGAUUUUUUUUAUUUUUUUGACAUUUCAUCCUUAGUAUUCUUUUUGUUUCGAUUUAUUUGUCUAAUUUGAACUUGAUACAUAAUUUAACACUAAUCUUUAUGAUUAUUUUUUUUUUAUAGAUGGGAGAAUUAUUCCGUUAGACGAUCCACCAAAGAUAUGCAAUGGCUUCACAGGAGUAAAUCAAUGCAGCUUUGGACCAGAUCAUGGAUGUUUCCAGCUUUGCACUGCAUUUUAUAAAAGGGCUAUUAUUUCUGCAUUUUGUGAAGAAGCAGCAACUGGAACUACUCAAUGUCGCUGUACAUUUGAAUGCUAGUCUUUUUAUACGUAUAGUCAAGAGUUCAAAUGCAAAUUAGGCAGUAAUUUCAUGUUUUAAGAUUAUCAUUUUAGUGAAAACUAAUAAAUUUUUG